AAGGAGCAACCUCAGAACCCCAGAGAGGAAAGGAAAACAAAAACCCCUAAACAAUGAAGAAACCCACUGGGCAGGAAGGGUAGGCUGGAUGCUGCUAUGAGAGCUUGGGUAUCAGGAGAGAAUUUUGGUUUGGGGUACAGUCUGAGAACUCUACCUGAAAGCUUGAAGCUGUCUUUCCCAGUCUCCCUUCCUUCAUCCAACGCUUCCCAGGCAGGGGGAGGAUGUAUAAUACAACCCAAGAUCACUAUCAUUUGCCAUGGCAACCACCCAACCCCAGAUCUCCUGGCCCAGAGGAGACUGGAAGGAGAAGACAUUUCUCCAGGACAGAGAAGCAUAGGAGCGUGAGCUGGGACAUCCAUCUUCUCCUGCCCUCGGACGUCAGAUCUCUUGAUUCUUGGGUCUUUAUCGCGUGUGCAUAUGAAGUCACUUCAGUCAUAUCCGACUCUUUGUGACCUCAUAGACCAUACAUAGCUCGACAGGUUCCUCUGUCCAUAGGAUUUCCCAGGCAAGAAUACUGGAGUGGGUUGCCAUGCCCUUCUCCAGGGGAUCUUCCUGACCCAGAGCUAGACCUGCAUCUCUUGCAUCUCCUGCAUUGGUAAGCAAGUUCUUUACCACUAGCACCACCAGGGAAAUUUGGGCCUUUAGAAUCUAAGUCAAUAAUUCCACCAGCUUUCCUGGUUUUCCAGCGUGAAGAUGGCAGACUGUGGGACUUCUCUGCUUCGACAAUCAUGGUAGGGGGUUGAAAAGAUAGUCAAGAUAAAUGGUUCAGCAUAAUCUUCAUCCACAUAUAAGAACAGACAAUGAGUCUACUAAGCUAGCCUGACAUUAUUAGAAAAGUUUAACUAGUAUUUAUUGAGCAUACACCCAGUGACUAUUGCUAUACAAAGAACUUGGGGUGGAGUUGUGAGUGAAACCAGACACUGUUUCUACACUCCUGAAGAUUAUUGCCCCGAGAAAGAGAUUAAAAUUGAGCAAACCGUUCCACUCAGAAAAGAGGAAAAUGAACAAUCCAAAAAGGAAAUUAAGAAAACUGGCAAUCAUUUUUUGGACAUGACACCAGAAGCACAGGCAACACACAUAAAAGUAGAUAAACUGGACUACAUGGAUAAUUAAAAACUCCUGUGCAUCGAGAGACACAAUCAAAGGAGUGAAAAAGCAGCCUAUAGAACAGGAGGGAAUAUUUGCAAUUUAUAUAUCUGAUAAGGAGUAAACACCCAGACUAUACAAAGAAUUCCUACAACUCAACAAGAAACCAAAUAACGUGAUCAAAAAACUGGCAAAGAACUUGAACAGACAUUUCCCCGAAGAAGAUACAAAUGACCAACAAGCACAUGAAGAAGUGCUCAGGGUCGCUAAUCUAAGGGAAAUGCAAAUCAAACCACAGUGAGAUACCACCUCAUACUCCUCAGGAUGGCGACUGUCAGAAUCACAAAAACAAAAACAACAAGCAUUGGCAAGGAUGUGGGAAAACUGGUACCUAAUGUAGUCAGAUUCACAGAGAAAACAAGAAGAGUGACUGCCAAGGGCUGAGGAAGGGAAGAAAUGGGAGUUGAUGGGUAAAGAGUUUUCAUUUUUUAAAAGAUUGUUUUGAUGUGGACUGGUUUUAAAGACUUCACUGAAUUUAUUACAGUAUUGCUUCUGUUUCAUGGUUUGGUCUCUUGGCCGGGAGGCAUGUGGGAUCUCAGCUCCCCAACCAGGGAUGGAACCUGUACCCCCUGCAUUGGAAGCUGAACUCUUAACCACUGUAUCACCAAGGAAGUCUCCAGAGUUUUCCUCUAGCAAGAUGAAAGGAGUUCUGGAGAAGGAUAGUGGUGAUGGCUGCACAGAAAUGGGAAUGUGCUUAAAGUUACUGAACAGUACACUUCAAAACAGUUAAGAUGAGUGAAGUAGGCUAUCCUGAAACGAACUUCCUGAUUCAGCAUCUGCUUGGGUUCACAUGAACUAGUCAUCAGACCUGGGAAUCUGGGUCCCUUUUCUGGAGCACCGCCCAGCACGAUUCUGAGACAUAUCCUAGACCAACCUUCACACCGCCCUUUGCAGCCUCAGAAAAAUGAAGGAUGGAGGGAACCUAACAGGAUCUGGCUGACGAUGACGACAAAUCUGGGCAAAGUUGUAAAUCCAGAAGCUGCUGAAGUGAAACUGGAAGAAACACAGGGACUCGGUGUUUUCAUCCAUCUGCAAGAUCACCCAACGCCCCGUUCAAGUCUGGGCACGAGUCACCAGGUUUCCACAUACACCUACCCCCUGAAGUGCAGUGAGCACCUGGGUGUGUGGUGCCGAGGGAGACUUCUGUAGGAAACACCUCGGGAAAAUGGAGAGAGGGGAGGCCCGGAUCUCGGUCAUCCACGCAGGCGCUGUGCCUGAUGCACGCACGUGGGUGCGGGACAGCUGUGCUGACCAGCGCGUGGCUGUUACCAGCGUUCAGGUUGGAUGCCCUUGUGUAAUUAUAUCACGUAAACAAGUUUGUUUUUUAAAAACAGAUUGAAAGCUCUAAGUAUAGCCUAUUAGAUUCUUUGGGGGAAACUGCUAUAGGAUUAGUGAACUCAGCUCUGUGCCCCUCAAAACUUCAGAAGCUGGAUUGAGGGUGGGAGGGGGAAUGUAGAGUUAGUAUUAAUGCAUUGGUAUUAGAAUAAAAGCAUCUAGGCUUUCUUUUCAUAGUCAUGAGAAAAUUGUCAGAUUACUUCUGUCUACAACCAAACUUAUUCAAGUUUCUUAAGCAAAUAUGUAAUGAUUGGUGAAAAUAAUCCAUUUAUUGACCAAAAACAUCUUUGCAAGGUGGGCAAAGGAAGAGACAAACAUUGAAAUUUUACUUAUUUAAAAAAAGCUAAGCAUCGCAACAAGCUUGGAGGGGAACAAGAGAACAUUGCUAGAGUUACUUAUUUUAAAAAGGGGAAAGGAAAGCAAUAUUAUUAUUAUCAUUGUCAUUAUUAUUACCAACACUAUUAUUUUGCUUAUUUGAGCUUUGAACUCAUCACCCUCUUCCUGUGGGGGAAGAAAAAAUCCAGCUCUCAACCCCAGUUUUCUUACUUAUCCUUAAC
ensembl:lncRNA